rnacentral:rRNA from 1 species
GACAGAGGAUGCAAGCGUUAUCCGGAAUGAUUGGGCGUAAAGCGUCUGUAGGUGGUUUGACAAGUCUUUUGUCAAAGAUCAGGGCUUAACCCUGGGCCGGCAAGAGAAACUAUCAGACUAGAGUUCGGUAGGGGCAGAGGGAAUUCCCGGUGGAGCGGUGAAAUGCGUAGAGAUCGGGAGGAACACCUGUGGCGAAAGCGGCUCACUGGACCAUAACUGACGCUGAUGCACGAAAGCUAGGGGAGCAAACAGG